rnacentral:rRNA from 1 species
CCUACGGGAGGCUGCAGUGAGGAAUAUUGGUCAAUGGUCGGGAGACUGAACCAGCCAAGCCGCGUGAGGGAUGAAGGUACAGAGUAUCGUAAACCUCUUUUGUCAGGGAACAAAGGCGGGCACGCGUCCCCGGUUGAGUGUACUUUAUGAAAAAGGAUCGGCUAACUCCGUGCCAGCAGCCGCGGUAAUACGGAGGAUCCGAGCUUUAUCCGGAUUUAUUGGGUUUAAAGGGUGCGUAGGCGGUCUUUUAAGUCAGCGGUAAAAGCCCGGGGCUCAACCCCGGCCCGCCGUUGAAACUGGCAGCCUGGAGUUGGAGAGAAGUAUGCGGAAUGCGCGGUGUAGCGGUGAAAUGCAUAGAUAUCGCGCAGAACUCCGAUUGCGAAGGCAGCAUGCCGGCUCCACACUGACGCUGAGGCACGAAAGCGUGGGUAUCGAACAGGAUUAGAUACCCGAGUAGUC